GAUGAACGCUGGCGGCGUGCCUAAUACAUGCAAGUCGAGCGAACAGACGAGGAGCUUGCUCCUCUGACGUUAGCGGCGGACGGGUGAGUAACACGUGGAUAACCUACCUAUAAGACUGGGAUAACUUCGGGAAACCGGAGCUAAUACCGGAUAAUAUAUUGAACCGCAUGGUUCAAUAGUGAAAGACGGUUUUGCUGUCACUUAUAGAUGGAUCCGCGCCGCAUUAGCUAGUUGGUAAGGUAACGGCUUACCAAGGCGACGAUGCGUAGCCGACCAGAGAGGGUGAUCGGCCACACUGGAACUGAGACACGGUCCAGACUCCUACGGGAGGCAGCAGUAGGGAAUCUUCCGCAAUGGGCGAAAGCCUGACGGAACAACGCCGCGUGAGUGAUGAAGGUCUUCGGAUCGUAAAACUCUGUUAUUAGGGAAGAACAAAUGUGUAAGUAACUAUGCACGUCUUGACGGUACCUAAUCAGAAAGCCACGGCUAACUACGUG
rnacentral:rRNA from 1 species